GGUCACCUAGGCAUGGAGAGGGGUUGGCACUGUGUGUAGGGCAGGGUCUGCGGAGCAACUUGGGACCCUGACGUCUGGGGUCCCUUAUCCCUGGCCAGCAAGAGUCGAGCGCGCUUCUUUGCGCAGGCAGACCCGUGUAUGCAGCUCCGCAGAGGGGCAAUGGAAAGACGUGCGGGAGCAGCCCUGGUGCCCGAUAACCUACUUGGAGGGGUCCCACGCCCUCCAUGAAGAAGCCCCGCGUGGAGCUGCCCCCCCCCACCUUCGAAGGGCCAACCCAGGGCAGCCACCGCCCACCGGCCGAGAUGGCGGCGAGGGCGGCAUUGUGGGAAAUGUAGUUCGGGGCCGGGCCCCGCGUGGCUGCCAGGCACCCGGUGGAGACGGCCGGGGAGCGACCUGUGUUGGGGCUCCCUCCCUCAGCCGGCUGGCCAGCGUCCCGCAACCGGAGCGCGUACCGGCGAAGGAAACUGCGGCACAAAGAGGUUGCGAGCCGAGGAGUCAGGACUCAGGAUAAUGAAGACGGUGAGCUGCAGGAGAGGAGAAAGCUGUGUGGACUUUGCAGACGCCCAGGCUUUGGUCUCCCGGUUCCCCUUCAAAUCCACGUGUGUUAGGAAAUUACCUGGGCCCUGCCGAAGCCGGGCACCUAGAGUCUUAGCAGAUGCUCCACACUGUGAAACAAAUGACUGAAAGAAUGAAUGGGCGGGUGUGCUAAGUUGUACCCAGAUUGUAAAUUCAAGCUAGCCAGUGGGAGCAGCUUAGCAAGACCCCAUCUCUAAAUAAAUAAAUAAAUAAAUAAAUAAAU